CUUUGCAGGAAUGGGCUCAUCAGCCCAUCACUUAAUUGAAGAGAAUGGAAAAAAUAGCUGCAACUCUCCAGAGACAGCAGUGCUCAGUCUCCCUGGAGCUUUAAGAGGAACUGCAUUUGCUGAACAGUGACAUCUCUCACCUGGGACGGAAUAACCCCAUGCAACUGCUCAGGCUGGACACCAACUGGGGACAAGCCCCUCUGCAGAAAAGGACUUGGGGAUGCUGGUGAACAACUGAGCACAAGUCAGCAGAGCACCCAUGCAGUGCUGAAGGGUAAUGGCAUACUGUGCUGCAUUAGGUAGUGCAUCACAGCAGACUGAGGUUAAUUAUUUCCUUCUAUUUGCAAAGAUCUGGAGUGCUGUCACUAGUUUUGGGUUCCCCAGUACCAGAAAGACAAUGACAAACUGCAGAAGGGUAGGCAGAGGGCCACUGAGAUGGCUGGAGGGACCAUGAUAUCAUGAAGAGUCAGAGAGGAGUAUUUAUUCAGCCUUUCCCUCUCCAGGCUAAGGAGGUAUCCGACUGCCACCUCCAACUACCUAAGGGGUGACUGGAAAAAAGACAGGACUAAACUUUUCUCCGAGGUGCUCAGUUGCAACAGAUUAAGGUGCAGCAAGGGAAAUUCUGGUUGAUCUGCUAUUAAGAAAAAAUUCUUAAUAAGGGGUGGCGCAGCAUCAGAACAUGGGCCCAGGGAGGUGAUGGAAUAUCUGUCCUUGGAAGUGCUCAGUGCUCAGGUGGACACGGCCCUGAGGAACCUGCUCUGUAUUUGAAGUUGCCCUGCUGUGAGCAGGAGGUGGGACCAGAUGACCUCCAGAGGAAAGGUCCUUUCUCACCUAAAUUCUUCGAUGAUUCUAACGUGCCUCAUGACAUGUGUGCUAACAUAUUAAGCACACUUAAUAUAUCAUCACUGGUAUCAGGUAUCAUCAACACUUUCAUCAGCUGGAACACUGCCAAACUGACUCAAAUACUGUACAUCUUGUCUAAAUGCAAUUAAAGAGGCACAUGGCAGUUUCUCUGUAUCUCAAUUAGCCUUGUACCAUGCAUGUUGACAUUCCAAAUUAGCUGACCUGGAGGCCUGUUCCCCACUCAAUUCAGAGCUUAUAUUGAGCUUGCUUGGUUUGCUGUAAAACUUACUAAGGCUCACAAAGUAAGGCCCUCCUUCAGACUCACAUUAACCACGAUUUGGAUUUUGGGGGAAUCAAAGCAAAGCUCACACAGUACAAACCUAAUGAAUCAAACCCUGAAAGAUUAAUGUUCUUGAAUAAAGCAGCAAACCUCACAGAGAGCUCCACAGAUCUGCCUCUUCUUCUAUUGCUUUGCUCUUAGGAUGUCAGAGGAGCAGUGGGCAGUGACAUCUCUUGCACAUUGGCAUCUGUUUUUGUAAUGCUAAGUGCUAGCUCUUAUCACCCCUGUAAUCCUGUUUGGGAAGGUCUGCUACAGCAUUUUACAUUCUUAUCUUUGUUUAGUCAAUGCUGGCAAAUAAAAGCAUAAACAAAUAUCUCCACUGUA